rnacentral:rRNA from 1 species
AGCGUACACGGUGGAUGCCCUGGCAGUCAGAGGCGAUGAAGGGCGUGCUAAUCUGCGAUAAGCGCCGGUAAGGUGAUAUGAACCGUUAUAACCGGCGAUACCCGAAUGGGGAAACCCAGUGUGACUCGUCACACUAUCAUUAACUGAAUCCAUAGGUUAAUGAGGCGAACCGGGGGAACUGAAACAUCUAAGUACCCCGAGGAAAAGAAAUCAACCGAGAUUCCCCCAGUAGCGGCGAGCGAACGGGGAGGAGCCCAGAGCCUGAAUCAGCAUGUGUGUUAGUGGAAGCGUCUGGAAAGGCGCGCGAUACAGGGUGACAGCCCCGUACACAAAAGCGCAUGUGCUGUGAGCUCGAUGAGUAGGGCGGGACACGUGGUAUCCUGUCUGAAUAUGGGGGGACCAUCCUCCAAGGCUAAAUACUCCUGACUGACCGAUAGUGAACCAGUACCGUGAGGGAAAGGCGAAAAGAACCCCGGCGAGGGGAGUGAAAAAGAACCUGAAACCGUGUACGUACAAGCAGUGGGAGCNGUGACUGCGUACCUUUUGUAUAAUGGGUCAGCGACUUAUAUUCUGUAGCAAGGUUAACCGAAUAGGGGAGCCGGAGGGAAACCGAGUCUUAAUUGGGCGUUAAGUUGCAGGGUAUAGACCCGAAACCCGGUGAUCUAGCCAUGGGCAGGUUGAAGGUUGGGUAACACUAACUGGAGGACCGAACCGACUAAUGUUGAAAAAUUAGCGGAUGACCUGUGGCUGGGGGUGAAAGGCCAAUCAAACCGGGAGAUAGCUGGUUCUCCCCGAAAGCUAUUUAGGUAGCGCCUCGUGAAUUCAUCUCCGGGGGUAGAGCACUGUUUCGGCUAGGGGGCCAUCCCGGCUUACCAACCCGAUGCAAACUGCGAAUACCGGAGAAUGUUAUCACGGGAGACACACGGCGGGUGCUAACGUCCGUCGUGAAGAGGGAAACAACCCAGACCGCCAGCUAAGGUCCCAAAGUCAUGGUUAAGUGGGAAACGAUGUGGGAAGGCCCAGACAGCCAGGAUGUUGGCUUAGAAGCAGCCAUCAUUUAAAGAAAGCGUAAUAGCUCACUGGUCGAGUCGGCCUGCGCGGAAGAUGUAACGGGGCUAAACCAUGCACCGAAGCUGCGGCAGCGACGCUUAUGCGUUGUUGGGUAGGGGAGCGUUCUGUAAGCCUGUGAAGGUGGCCUGUGAGGGUUGCUGGAGGUAUCAGAAGUGCGAAUGCUGACAUAAGUAACGAUAAAGCGGGUGAAAAGCCCGCUCGCCGGAAGACCAAGGGUUCCUGUCCAACGUUAAUCGGGGCAGGGUGAGUCGACCCCUAAGGCGAGGCCGAAAGGCGUAGUCGAUGGGAAACGGGUUAAUAUUCCCGUACUUGGUGUUACUGCGAAGGGGGGACGGAGAAGGCUAUGUUGGCCGGGCGACGGUUGUCCCGGUUUAAGCGUGUAGGUGUGUGUUCCAGGUAAAUCCGGUUCACUUUAACACUGAGGCGUGACGACGAGGCACUACGGUGCUGAAGCAACAAAUGCCCUGCUUCCAGGAAAAGCCUCUAAGCAUCAGGUAACAUCAAAUCGUACCCCAAACCGACACAGGUGGUCAGGUAGAGAAUACCAAGGCGCUUGAGAGAACUCGGGUGAAGGAACUAGGCAAAAUGGUGCCGUAACUUCGGGAGAAGGCACGCUGACACGUAGGUGAAGUGAUUUACUCAUGGAGCUGAAGUCAGUCGAAGAUACCAGCUGGCUGCAACUGUUUAUUAAAAACACAGCACUGUGCAAACACGAAAGUGGACGUAUACGGUGUGACGCCUGCCCGGUGCCGGAAGGUUAAUUGAUGGGGUCAGCGCAAGCGAAGCUCCUGAUCGAAGCCCCGGUAAACGGCGGCCGUAACUAUAACGGUCCUAAGGUAGCGAAAUUCCUUGUCGGGUAAGUUCCGACCUGCACGAAUGGCGUAAUGAUGGCCAGGCUGUCUCCACCCGAGACUCAGUGAAAUUGAACUCGCUGUGAAGAUGCAGUGUACCCGCGGCAAGACGGAAAGACCCCGUGAACCUUUACUAUAGCUUGACACUGAACAUUGAGCCUUGAUGUGUAGGAUAGGUGGGAGGCUUUGAAGUGUGGACGCCAGUCUGCAUGGAGCCGACCUUGAAAUACCACCCUUUAAUGUUUGAUGUUCUAACGUGGACCCGUAAUCCGGGUUGCGGACAGUGUCUGGUGGGUAGUUUGACUGGGGCGGUCUCCUCCUAAAGAGUAACGGAGGAGCACGAAGGUUGGCUAAUCCUGGUCGGACAUCAGGAGGUUAGUGCAAUGGCAUAAGCCAGCUUGACUGCGAGCGUGACGGCGCGAGCAGGUGCGAAAGCAGGUCAUAGUGAUCCGGUGGUUCUGAAUGGAAGGGCCAUCGCUCAACGGAUAAAAGGUACUCCGGGGAUAACAGGCUGAUACCGCCCAAGAGUUCAUAUCGACGGCGGUGUUUGGCACCUCGAUGUCGGCUCAUCACAUCCUGGGGCUGAAGUAGGUCCCAAGGGUAUGGCUGUUCGCCAUUUAAAGUGGUACGCGAGCUGGGUUUAGAACGUCGUGAGACAGUUCGGUCCCUAUCUGCCGUGGGCGCUGGAGAACUGAGGGGGGCUGCUCCUAGUACGAGAGGACCGGAGUGGACGCAUCACUGGUGUUCGGGUUGUCAUGCCAAUGGCACUGCCCGGUAGCUAAAUGCGGAAGAGAUAAGUGCUGAAAGCAUCUAAGCACGAAACUUGCCCCGAGAUGAGUUCU